AUUAAAAUCAACGUCCAAAGCGUUGCUGCUGUUUGUCAGUACUGUGAGAAAAGGUCCUGGUCGAAGAAGCCCGGAUGCUAAAAUAAACUCUGAUGCUGCUUUUUUGUCGUCAAUGAAGAGGUCUGUGUGCUAAAACAAACUCUGGAGCUGCUUUUUGUCGAACGCGAAUGAGACUGGACGCUGAACACACGUGCGGCGCGAAGGUGUCACCACUUUGUCCGCAACAUCGUCCACUAUCGCUGAGACAUGGUCCAUGUUCAGAGAGACGUUGCUGAGGAUGAAGAAGACAUAGUCCUGACCCUUGUAAAAGAUGACAGAGAUGUUGUCCAUGAUCAGAGACAUUGUCCAUGCUUCAUAGAGACCUGCGCAAGAAUCGGCGGAGACUGGACCAGGACAUAGACCUCCAGGAGGAGAAGACGACAGCAGCUGAAGACCUGACGUGGAUGAAAGAAAACAAAGUGUUACAAAGCUGUAAUUAGAUAAAAGACAUCCACCAUCUAACUGCUGUAAACAGUGCUGGUUUCCUGUUGUUCAAGUGAAAACACUUUGUUUUUCUCUACCAUCUGUAAUGUAGUCAUGGGCACAUUUUCCAAAGACUUUAUUAAACACCUGAGAAUAUUCAGCAGCUUUUGUUACAACUGUUAAAUAACUGUAUCACAAUAGUUAAAUAAUCACAAAGAUAUUCAUAGACAUGUUCCUCUUUGGAAAAUGUGCUCAUAACUACAAUAACCCUAACUCUGUCCAGCUCUAACAAAUAAAAUAAAGUGUCUGUCUACAUUUUUGAGUUGCAUUUUAAGAAGAAAAAUUAUGAUUCUCCUGUUUUAGACCUAUUUUUAAACAUUUUGAAAUUCUAUUUUUUUACCGUUCUGUAUUUAUUUUUUAUGGUUUUAUACUUAACUUUUACAAGGUUUGACACUUAUUGUUAACACAUAUAGUUUUUAGAGUUUUUAAUUAAUUUUCCAAAAGUUUCAUACUUUUUUUUUUUUUUUUUUAAGACUUAUAGGUUAAGGUUUUGUACCUAACUUGUUUAAAUUUAUUUUGUACAGGUUUCAUACUUAAUUAUUAGACCUAUUUUCAAAGGUUUUAGAUAUAGAAAUACUUUUUAAGUCUAUGUAAAGCAGUUAUACCAAUGGCAUUCUGAGUUAGUCACAUUAAAUUUUUUGAAGAUUGGUUUUAUACUUAAUAUGUAAAGGUUUUCAAUUAACCAAUUUAUUUGUACGUUUAUUAAAAGGGUUUUUAUUCUAUUCUAAACUAAGGUUUUAUAUUUUCUGAUUCUAAAUAUGUAUAUAGUUUUACAUAUUUUUAAACUUGCUUUAUGCAGCUACAUUGUUGAAAAUACUAAUUACAACUGAUAAGUUACAGCAGCUUUAAUUUGUUGCUAUUUGUUCCAGACAAGAGUUGGACAAACUGUAGCUGAGAUAAUGACAGAGUUAGACUGAAAAGAAUAAACUA